CUUCAUGCCUCCCUGUUACAAACUCCCAUUAUACUGUGAGUUUGCCACAAGUUUUUAGAGGGGCAUGUUUGCUUGCCUCCUACCCUGUUAUUAUGGGCCCUGCAAUAUACCUUGCCCAAUACACGUUAAAAGGCUCCAUUCAUGUAAUGUAAGUACUUUUGUACUCCAGAAAGAGACAGCCUGCUGCUCCUAAUUCCCUGGAACUGUUUUUGGCAUGAAGCCAUGCUUGCAGCCAGUCAAAAAGAGACUUCCAUGAAACUUUUGAACCCCUGCUCUGGGUGAUUUUUGGAUAUGUUGUUCACCCAGAUCAGGGCUAUCUGGGGAUGUAACAUUUUGGGGGUAUGUUUUGUGUUGGGGUACUUUCUGAACUUUGUGAAAAUGUUUUUUUUUUUGUUUUUUUUCUUUUUUUUUUUUCUGCUUGGAUAUAAUUGAGUUACUUACAGGACUCUACUCAAUUAUCUCCCAAGCAGAGGGGAGGGAUUGUGUGCUGUACAUGGG